UACGUAGGGGGCAAGCGUUAUCCGGAAUUACUGGGCGUAAAGCGCACGCAGGCGGUUCGCCAAGUUUGGGGUGACAGUUGUCGGCUCAACCGACAAAGGACUUCAAAAACUGGUGAACUUGAGGACGAGAGAGGAACAUGGAACUCCAGGUGUAGUAGUGAAAUGCGUAGAUAUCUGGAAGAACACCAAUGGCGAAGGCAAUGUUCUGGCUCGUUUCUGACGCUCAGGUGCGAAAGCCAGGGGAGCGAACGGG
rnacentral:rRNA from 1 species